CCUGCCCCUAGAGUCAUGAAAGGUAUGACUGCUGUGUCACAUGUUGCAUCAGUAGGUGGCAGGGAAGAGAAAGACUGUCUACACUCAGUAUUCUGACCUAUGAUCAUCUGAAUAAUUAGUAGCCUAACACU